AGUCACCCCAGGACAGCCCUGUCCACCAUUCUUGGCCAGCUUCCUUCAAGGACUUUAUCACAUCUGAUACCUUCUCUUUGUAAAUAUUUGUCCCCCUCCUCACAUUGUGAGAGCCCUGAGAACAGGAAUCUUCACAGUCUUGUUUGUCCCUAUAUCCCCAGGGCCUAGAACACUGCCUGGCCCAUAGGGGGUGCUCAAGCAACACUGAAUGAAUGAAUGAAUGAAUGAAUGAAAAGCAAUUCAGCAGCAAAAUUUUCCUAUUGGGUGAAGAGAGAUAACUACACAGUGACCACAAGACCCAGACUCUACAGGUAAAGAAAAAGAACAGUCAGUCUAUGAACAAUAAUCCAUCAGUGUGUUUUAAAGCUUCACUACUGGUCAUGAAAAUAUGGAGUUGAAGACAAAGAGAGUCAGGAGGAAGGCAUCCAGAGCCAUCGGGUGCAGAGAACGAUGCAGGAACAAAUGUGCUGUAGGAACUGUAACGCACCAGUCCUCUCUGUCAGAAGGAUGUUCAACCUGAUCCUCAAGAUAAAGUCAAGCCCAGUCACACCUCUGAGCCACUGAGGCAUGACUCAUACCUGCAGCCAAACAGGAGGAUACAGGAAGUGAAGCCACAGCAAUUCACAGGGAAUGAGAGAAACCAUUUUGGGAUUUUUCCAAUAACACCAACUACCUCAAAGCUGGCCCAAUGUCUGGAGGCUGGAAGCUGAGGGAGGAAACAGAGAUCGAAGGCCAGACAGAGAUCCUAGCUCUGGUCCUGACUGUGCCUCUUUCCAGCCAUGGACCCUGACCUGAUCAUGUCGCUUUGCUGACCUUCUGUUUUGCCCUCCACAAAAUGUAGACCUCUGAGGAUUUGUCUGAAGAUAAAAUAAGGUAACGCAGAAACAAGCUAUGGCUAAACCA